CUUUUUUAUUCAACAUAGAUCCAGGCCCUCAUACAGACACUGAAAAGGUGAAUGUCUCGGAGAAUAGGCUAAGAAAGUGAAACUGACAGCCAAGCCUACAUUUAAUUGGGGGUAGUGUCCCAUCAUUGUUCUGAGCUGCAGAACCUUUUCUAACCUCCAAGGCAGAACGCGGUAGCAGAGGAGCAAUCAUCAGAUAAUGUAAUACACAGUUCCCAGGAGGAUACAGCUGAGGUGCAUUCUCUCUCGGAUGAAUGGAUUUUAAGAGCUCCAUAUUUUUCCUCCCAAGAGAAUGACUCAUUCAGCAAGGCAGAAAACUUUGCCUUCUAUUGUCUCCAAGGAUUUUAUUUCACGAGGAUCUUUCUGCAGCUCGUGCCUCAAACAAUUUGUAAAUAUAAUAAU